GACGAACGCUGGCGGCGUGCUUAACACAUGCAAGUCGAACGGAAAGGCCCUGCUUUUGUGGGGUGCUCGAGUGGCGAACGGGUGAGUAACACGUGAGUAACCUGCCCUUUACUUUGGGAUAACUUCAGGAAACUGGGGCUAAUACCGGAUAGGAGCUCCUGCUGCAUGGUGGGGGUUGGAACGUUUCGGCGGUUGGGGAUGGACUCGCGGCUUAUCAGCUUGUUGGUGGGGUAGUGGCUUACCAAGGCUUUGACGGGUAGCCGGCCUGAGAGGGUGAACGGCGACAAUGGGACUGAGAUACGGACCAGACUGCAACGGGAGGCAGCAGUGGGGAAUAUUGCACAGUGAGCGGAAGCCUGAGGCAGAAACGCCGCGUGCGGGAUGACGGCCUUCGGGUUGUAAACCGCUGUAGCCUGUGACGAAGCGUGAGUGACGGUAAUGGGUAAAGAAGCACCGGCUAACUACGUG
rnacentral:rRNA from 1 species